rnacentral:lncRNA from 1 species
UAGCGACGUGGUCCCAACACGGCCGAGGAGGCGGGGGUGGGGGGGACCUCAAAGCAGGGGCAGGGUGGGGCUGGGAAACAGCUAGGUCCCCCUGCAACUUGGGUCACACGCUCAGAAGUGUCUGAAGAUGGAGAGCUGAGAUCUCGGCCACUAGGAAGCCCUUUGUGGACGGUCGUCCUGGAAUGGCAGUUCCAUACAGAGUCUCCAGCUGGCCUUCGUGGAGCAAGGGACUGGGCAAGCCUGCCCGGUUGUACGGUCACCCUUUGGAGGGUACUCUUUGCUGCUAAUGAUCCAUGAAGAGGGGGUUGCUGAUGCCUGAAGGGGAUCUUGGACAAAGGAGCUACACUCUGCUCUGGAUAACUCUUUGCUGGCCUUUCCCUAAACUAAAUAAACAUUG